CCUCGGGGGUCUUGUGACCCCCGAGAGCAAUGUUUCCGCUAGAUUUAGCGGGGAAAAUUUUUCCGCUAAAUCUAGCGGGGAAAUUUUCCGCUAGAUGUAGCGGGGAAAUUGUUUCGCUAAAUUUAGCGGGGGAAAUUAUUCCGCUAGAUUUAGCGGGGAAAUUGUUUUGCUGGAUUUAGUGGGGAAAUUUUUCCACUAGAUUUAGCGGGAAAAUAUUUCCGCUAGAU
rnacentral:SRP_RNA from 1 species